AUUGAACGCUGGCGGCAUGCCUAACACAUGCAAGUCGAACGGCAGCACGACCUAGCUUGCUAGGUGGGUGGCGAGUGGCGCACGGGUGAGUAAAGCGUAUGGAUAUACCUUAAAGUGGGCGACAACCUGGGGAAACUCAGGCUAAUACAGAAUGAGCUCUAAGGAGGAAAGCUGGGGACCUGAGAGGGCCUGGCGCUUUAAGAUUAACUUACGCCUGAUUAGCUAGUUGGUGGGGUAAAGGCUUACCAAGGCGAUGAUCGGUAGCUGGUCUGGGAGGAUGAUCAGCCACACUGGGACUGGGACACGGCCCAAACUCCUACGGGAGGGAGGAGGGGGGAAUAUUGGACAAUGGGGGCAACCCUGAUCCAGCGAUGCCGCGUGUGUGAAGAAGGCCUGCGGGUUGUAAAGCACUUUCGGUGGGGAGGAGGGUUUGUAGGUUAAGAGCUAACAAACUGGACGUUACCCAUAUAAGAAGCACCGGCUAACUCCGUGCCAGCCGCCGCAGUAACAC
rnacentral:rRNA from 1 species